GUCCUUUUGAUAAUAAUAUAAGGUCUAACCUGCCCACUGAAAUUUUAAAGGGCCGCAGUAUUUUAACUGUGCAAAGGUAGCAUAAUAAUUAGUUUCUUAAUUAGAAGCUGGUAUGAAUGGUUGAACGAGAAAUUUACUGUCUCAAUUUAUAUAUUAAAAUUUUAUUUUUAAGUUAAAAAGCUUAAAUUUAUUUAAAAGACGAGAAGACCCUAUAGAGUUUUAUAAAUUUAAGUAUAUUAAUUUUAGAAUUUUUUUUUAUUUAAAUUUAUUUUAUUGGGGUGAUAUAUAAAUUUAAUAAACUUUAUAUUUUUGAUUACAUUAAUUAAUGUUAAAUUGAUCCAUAUAAAUGAUUAAAAGAAAAAAUUACCUUAGGGAUAACAGCGUAAUUUUUUUUUAGAGUUCUAAUCGAAAAAAAAGAUUGCGACCUCGAUGUUGGAUUAAAAUUAAUUUUUGGUGUAGAAGCUAAAAUAUUAGGUCUGUUCGACCUUUAAAAUUUUACAUGAUCUGAGUUUAAACCGGUGUGAGCCAGGUUGGUUUCUAUCUUUAAAUUAAAUAAAUAUUUUAGUACGAAAGGACCAAGUAUUUUUAAAAUUUAAUAUUUUUUGAAUA
rnacentral:rRNA from 1 species